rnacentral:rRNA from 1 species
UACGUAGGCAGCAAGCGUUGUUCGGAGUUACUGGGCGUAAAGGGUGUGUAGGCGGUUCUUUAAGUUUGGUGUGAAAUCUCCCGGCUCAACCGGGAGGGUGCGCCGAAUACUGAGGAGCUAGAGUGCGGGAGAGGAAAGUGGAAUUCCUGGUGUAGCGGUGAAAUGCGUAGAUAUCAGGAGGAACACCGGUGGUGUAAACGGCUUUCUGGACCGUAACUGACGCUGAGACACGAAAGCGUGGGUAGCAAACAGG